UCCUUGAAACUCAAAUGUUUU
rnacentral:piRNA from 1 species